rnacentral:rRNA from 1 species
CCUACGGGCGGCAGCAGUGGGGAAUAUUGGACAAUGGGGGCAACCCUGAUCCAGCCAUGCCGCGUGUGUGAAUAAGGCCCUCGGGUUGUAAAGCACUUUCAGUGAGGAAGAACGCCUGGUGGUUAAUACCCAUCAGGAAAGACAUCACUCACAGAAGAAGCACCGGCUAACUCCGUGCCAGCAGCCGCGGUAAUACGGAGGGUGCGAGCGUUAAUCGGAAUUACUGGGCGUAAAGCGCGCGUAGGUGGCUUGAUAAGCCGGUUGUGAAAGCCCCGGGCUCAACCUGGGAACGGCAUCCGGAACUGUCAAGCUAGAGUGCAGGAGAGGAAGGUAGAAUUCCCGGUGUAGCGGUGAAAUGAGUAGAGAGCGGGAGGGAUACCAGUGGCGAAGGCGGCCUUCUGGACUGACACUGACACUGAGGUGCGAAAGCGUGGGUAGAAAACAGGAUUAGAUACCCGUGUAGUC